rnacentral:rRNA from 1 species
AUUGAACGCUGGCGGCAUGCCUUACACAUGCAAAUCGAACGGUAACGGGCCUUCGGGUGCCGACGAGUGGCGAACGGGUGCGUAAUACAUCGGAACGUGCCCGAUCGUGGGGGAUAACGAGGCGAAAGCUUUGCUAAUACCGCAUACGAUCUACGGAUGAAAGCAGGGGACCGCAAGGCCUUGCGCGGACGGAGCGGCCGAUGGCAGAUUAGGUAGUUGGUGGGAUAAAAGCUUACCAAGCCGACGAUCUGUAGCUGGUCUGAGAGGAUGAUCAGCCAGACUGGGACUGAGACACGGCCCAGACUCCUACGGGAGGCAGCAGUGGGGAAUUUUGGACAAUGGGCGCAAGCCUGAUCCAGCCAUGCCGCGUGCAGGAUGAAGGCCUUCGGGUUGUAAACUGAUUUUGUACGGAACGAAAAGCCUUCUUUUAAUACAGGAGGGUCAUGACGGUACCGUAAGAAUAAGCACCGGCUAACUACGUG